CUGCUGCCUCCCGUAGGAGUCUGGGCCGUAUCUCAGUCCCAAUGUGGCCGUUCAACCUCUCAGUCCGGCUACUGAUCGUCGCCUUGGUAGGCCUUUACCCCACCAACUAGCUAAUCAGACGCAAGCUCAUCUAUCAGCGGAUUGCUCCUUUCCCACUAGAAUCAUGCGAUUCCUAUGGCAUAUGCGGUAUUAGCAGUGAUUUCUCACUGUUAUUCCCCUCUGAUAGGCAG
rnacentral:rRNA from 1 species